rnacentral:lncRNA from 1 species
UUCCAAGGUAACAGCUCCCCCUACAAAAAUCUGCUGCACUGAAGUCCAACAGUGGAAGAACAGCAUGACAUGGACCACAGCCCUGUGACAUUACAAGCGUGUAUUACAGCUGCCAGAUGGGCUCAGCUGACUCAUGCUCAGGAUCACUCCGACCAGCAGAUGUGAGGGAAGGAUGGAAUUUUGCCCAUGGUGUUAUUUUCUGCUUUCUUUCUGUACAACAGGAAAUAAUUUGCCUGCUG